AAGCUCGUAGUUGAAUUUCGGGGUCAGUAGGUUGGUCAUGCCACUGGUAUGUACUGGUCUCACUGAUUCCCCCUUCCUGAUGAUCCGUAAUGCCAUUAAUUUGGUGUUGCGAGGAAUCUGGACUGUUACUUUGAAAAAAUUAGAGUGUUUAAAGCAGGCUAACGCUUGAAUACAUUAGCAUGGAAUAAUGAAAUAGGACGUUCGAUCUUAUUUUGUUGGUUUCUAAGAUUGACGUAAUGAUUAAUAGGGAUAGUUGGGGGCAUUAGUAUUCAAUUGUCAGAGGUGAAAUUCUUGGAUUUAUUGAAGACUAACUACUGCGAAAGCAUUUGCCAAGGAUGUUUUCAUUAAUCAAGAACGAAAGUUUGGGGAUCGAAGACGAUCAGAUACCGUCGUAGUCUUAACCAUAAACUAUGCCGACUAGGGAUCGGAUGAUGUUAAUUUUUUAAUGACUCAUUCGGCGCCUUACGGGAAACCAAAGUGUUUGGGUUCCGGGGGGAGUAUGGUCGCAAGGCUGAAACUUAAAGGAAUUGACGGAAGGGCACCACCAGGGGUGGAGCCUGCGGCUUAAUUUGACUCAACACGGGGAAACUCACCAGGUCCAGACAUAGUAAGGAUUGGCAGAUUGAGAGCUCUUUCUUGAUUCUAUGGGUG
rnacentral:rRNA from 1 species